rnacentral:rRNA from 1 species
CUCCUACGGGAGGCAGCAGUGGGGAAUUUUGGACAAUGGGCGCAAGCCUGAUCCAGCCAUGCCGCGUGAGUGAAGAAGGCCUUCGGGUUGUAAAGCUCUUUCAGUCGGGAAGAAAAGGCGGGCUCUAACAUAGCCUGUUGCUGACGGUACCGACAGAAGAAGCACCGGCUAACUACGUGCCAGCAGCCGCGGUAAUACGUAGGGUGCGAGCGUUAAUCGGAAUUACUGGGCGUAAAGCGUGCGCAGGCGGUUUGCUAAGACAGGUGUGAAAUCCCCGGGCUUAACCUGGGAACUGCGCUUGUGACUGGCAGGCUAGAGUACGGCAGAGGGGGGUGGAAUUCCACGUGUAGCAGUGAAAUGCGUAGAGAUGUGGAGGAACACCGAUGGCGAAGGCAGCCCCCUGGGGCCUGUACUGACGCUCAUGCACGAAAGCGUGGGGAGCAAACAGGAUUAGAUACCCUGGUAGUCCACGCCCUAAACGAUGUCAACUAGUCGUUCGGAGCGGUAACGCACUGAGUGACGCAGCUAACGCGUGAAGUUGACCGCCUGGGGAGUACGGCCGCAAGGUUAAAACUCAAAGGAAUUGACGGGGACCCGCACAAGCGGUGGAUGAUGUGGAUUAAUUCGAUGCAACGCGAAAAA